rnacentral:rRNA from 1 species
AGUGAACGCUGGCGGUAGGCCUAACACAUGCAAGUCGAACGGCAGCACAGUAAGAGCUUGCUCUUACGGGUGGCGAGUGGCGGACGGGUGAGGAAUACAUCGGAAUCUACUUUUUCGUGGGGGAUAACGUAGGGAAACUUACGCUAAUACCGCAUACGACCUACGGGUGAAAGCAGGGGAUCUUCGGACCUUGCGCGAUUGAAUGAGCCGAUGUCGGAUUAGCUAGUUGGCGGGGUAAAGGCCCACCAAGGCGACGAUCCGUAGCUGGUCUGAGAGGAUGAGCAGCCACACGGGAACUGAGACACGGUCCAGACUCCUACGGGAGGCAGCAGUGGGGAAUAUUGGACAAUGGGCGCAAGCCGGAUCCAGCCAUACCGCGUGGGUGAAGAAGGCCUUCGGGUUGUAAAGCCCUUUUGUUGGGAAAGAAAAGCAGCAGGUUAAUACCCCGCUGUUCUGACGUUACCCAAAGAAUAAGCACCGGCUAACUUCGUG